rnacentral:rRNA from 1 species
AACACGUGAGAAAUUUUCCCUAAAGUCGAACAUAGCUUCGUGAAAACGGAGGUAAUAUUCGACAUGGUAUUUUGGUCGCAUGGCCGAAAUAUUAAAGGUGGGGACCCUUCGGGGCCUACUGCUUUUGGAUGAUCUCGCGGCCUAUCAGCCUGUUGGUGGGGUAACGGCCUACCAAGGCGUAUGACGGGUAGCUGGUCUGAGAGGAUGGUCAGCCACACUGGGACUGAGACACUGCCCAG